rnacentral:rRNA from 1 species
UACAUGUGGGGCAAGCGUUGUUCGGGAUUACUGGGCAUAAAGGGUGCGUAGGCGGCUUGUUAAGUCAGGGGUGAAAGUUUUCGGCCCAACCGGAAAAUUGCCUUCGAUACUGGGGAUCUCGAGACCGGAAGAGGUGAGUGGAACUGCGAGUGUAGAGGUGAAAUUCGUAGAUAUUCGCAAGAACACCAGUGGCGAAGGCGGCUCACUGGUCCGGUUCUGACGCUGAGGCGCGAAAGCGUGGGGAGCAAACAGG